rnacentral:rRNA from 1 species
CGGCAUGCCUAAUACAUGCAAGUCGAACGAGACCUUCGGGUCUAGUGGCGCACGGGUGCGUAACGCGUGGGAAUCUGCCCUUGGGUUCGGAAUAACAGUUAGAAAUGACUGCUAAUACCGGAUGAUGACGUAAGUCCAAAGAUUUAUCGCCCAAGGAUGAGCCCGCGUAGGAUUAGCUAGUUGGUGAGGUAAAGGCUCACCAAGGCUACGAUCCUUAGCUGGUCUGAGAGGAUGAUCAGCCACACUGGGACUGAGACACGGCCCAGACUCCUACGGGAGGCAGCAGUAGGGAAUAUUGGACAAUGGGGGAAACCCUGAUCCAGCAAUGCCGCGUGAGCGAUGAAGGCCUUAGGGUUGUAAAGCUCUUUUACCCGAGAUGAUAAUGACAGUAUCGGGAGAAUAAGCCCCGGCUAACUCCGUGCCAGCAGCCGCGGUAAUACGGAGGGGGCUAGCGUUGUUCGGAAUUACUGGGCGUAAAGCGCACGUAGGCGGCGAUUUAAGUCAGAGGUGAAAGCCCGGGGCUCAACCCCGGAAUUGCCUUUGAGACUGGAUUGCUAGAAUCUUGGAGAGGCGAGUGGAAUUCCGAGUGUAGAGGUGAAAUUCGUAGAUAUUCGGAAGAAC